GACGAAGGGGGCUAGCGUUGUUCGGAAUUACUGGGCGUAAAGGGCGCGUAGGCGGCUUGGUCAGUCCCGUGUGAAAUCCCUCGGCUCAACUGAGGAACUGCACGGGAAACUGCCUGGCUUGAGUUCGGGAGAGGGAAGCGGAAUUCCGGGUGUAGCGGUGAAAUGCGUAGAUAUCCGGAGGAACACCGGUGGCGAAGGCGGCUUCCUGGACCGACACUGACGCUGAGGCGCGAAAGCUAGGGGAGCAAACGGG
rnacentral:rRNA from 1 species